AUGGUGUGACCCCAGGGCUACAGAACAAAUCAAGCAUAUUCUUGCUAAUUUCAAAAACUACCAGUUCUUUAUUGGUGAAAUGAAUCCCGAUGGCAUGGUUGCUCUACUGGACUACCGUGAGGAUGGUGUGAGCCCAUAUAUGAUUUUCUUUAAGGAUGGUUUAGAAAUGGAAAAAUGUUAACAAAUUUGGCAAUUACUUUGGAUAUAUCACCUGUCAUCAUAAUUGACUACUGCUUGUCAU